AAGUCGUAACAAGGUUUCCGUAGGUGAACCUGCGGAAGGAUCAUUAAAAAGUGAUUGGUAUACAUUUCAUGUUAUCAACUGCAAUUAACCCCAUUUCCAGCAUGUCGACCUUGCCAUCGUUUGCCUUGCCCUAUCGGGGUCCCAUGGGCUAGCCUCAGGUGUCAACUUCCUUUGUGAUGUGAAAACCCCAAGAGAGUCCCCCAUGGGGAGGUAAUCAUUAAAUUCAUGUAUCCAAUGUCUUCUGUCUGAACUGUUUAUAACAAAUGUUAAAA
rnacentral:misc_RNA from 1 species